rnacentral:misc_RNA from 1 species
GAACGCACAUUGCACCCUCUGGUAUUCCGGAGGGUAUGCCUGUUUGAGUGUCAUGAAUACGUCAACGCAGUUCGGUCUUCCAUGACUCGCACUGCCGCUUGGAUGUUGAAGGCUUGCUGGCGUUGAAAUAAUACGUCUGCUCCUUUUAAAUUCAUGAGCAAGGGGAACUAUGCAGAACCGGCUUCAGUUUGAUAAGAUUGAACUGUGCCCUACUGCCGUGCCCAUGCUUCUAAUCGUCCCGAGAGUCGGGACUGUCUCAAUCGAGGCAUUUGACCACUUGGCCUCAAAUCAGGUAGGACUACCCGCUGAACUUA